GCUUUUAAGGGGGUCUCUGAAAUGGCAUUUCCAGAGUUCUGGGAACAGAAUUUGCAAAAUCUUUGGCCAUUUUGCAUGGAUUACAUUAAAGAGGGGGAUAAGUCCCUUCUGCGCAUGUGCCCGGCGUUUGUUUACAGGGGACUCCACCGGAAAUGAACCUCUCGUUUCCAGUCCCAUAAUUGGCGAUAUACACGCGCGAUGUUUAUAUUCCACAUGAGGUGAUGAGGAGUGAAUGUAAAAUAUUUAUAUAGAAUUCGAAAAGGUUUCAACAAAUUUGCGACUUUUAUGAAACCAAAUCCACCUAUUAGUAAAUUAUAGAAACAUAUAAAACAACAAGAGAACACGGAAAGAAUAUUACGCCAGCAAAGCUGCCCUAAAAGUGCGUUUGUGCGAUAUUCAGUGCAGCACGCUGUGAAUACCUGUGAUCAAAAUUGGGCUAUUCCAUUUAAUAUCCGUACCCCCCCUGUCGAGGAUCCCUGGAAUUCUUCAGGGGUAAAGGGUUUUGAGCUUGGAAUUCUUCAGGGGUAAAGUGUUUUGAGCUUGGAAUUCUUCAGGGUAAAGUGUUUUGAGUUUGGAAUUCUUCAGGGGUAAAUGGUUUUGAGCUUGGAAUUCUUCAGGGGUAAAGGGUUUUGAGCUUGGAAUUCUUCAGGGGUGAAGAGGUUUGAGAUUGAAAUUUUUCAGAGCUUGGAAUUCUUCAGGGGUGAAGGGUUUUGAGCUUGGAAUUCUUCAGGGGUAAAAGGUUUUGAGCUUGAAAUUCUUCAGGGGUAAAGGGUUUUGAGCUUGGAAUUCUUUAGGGGUGAAGGGUUUUGAGCUUGGAAUUCUUCAGGGGUAAAAGGUUUUGAGCUUGGAAUUCUUCAGGGGUAAAGGGUUUUGAGCUUGGAAUUUUGGAAUUCUUCAGGGGUAAAAGGUUUUGAGCUUGGAAUUCUUCAGGGGUAAAGAGUUUUGAGCUUGGAAUUUUGGAAUUCUUCAGGGUAAACAGUUUUGAGCUUGGAAUUCUUCAGGGGUAUGACAAUGAAAAACAUGUAUCCUCGACAGGGGGGUACGGAUAUUAAAUGGAAUAGCCCAAUCGACAUGUGUUGUCUGCUACGAUGUCUUUUAUAUUCAGGUAAAUGUUUUGUUUAUACUUGGGUUUUAACUGUUGUUAAAUAGUAAUUUUGGUCAGAAAUUCUAUGCUGGGAUUCUAUUGCAUUGGAUUUAUAUGCUGACUAUGUAUUUAAUAUUUAUUUAUCAGAUCUGAUCGAAUAUUCGUCCCCGGCAAAGAAAGUCAAGAGAUUUGAAACCAUAACUACAAUAGUACAAUUUACUGUUAAUAUUUUUAUUGAUGCGCUAUUAUUCAAGACGGCUUCAUAACUUUAUUUUUAUUUCUACAUUUAUUUUACUAUAUACAAUUGUUUGUAAUCUAUAACCAGAUAUCUGAAUAUAAAUCUUUAUAUUAACAUUGUAUGCGUAUGCCAUUUCACAUAGCAUGAUUGUUGUAUAAAAUUAUCGAACUUUCAAGCUAGAUAAAUUUUUGUAUAUGCAUGCAAAGUUUUAUUUUAGUAUUGGAAAACGUUCAUACUGUAGGCUGAAACAUAGUAGCAUGAGGUAUAUAGUCAUUAUCAUGAUAGUUGAGUUGCCUUGGAACUCUUACGAUUUUGUGAUAUACACCCACAGUACAUGAAGUUACACCUCAGGAAGUAAUAAAUAUGACAACUGUAUAAUCUUUAUAGUUACUAUAUUAUUUUCUCAUUAAAAGCAAUGCAUGGUAGUAUCUUUUAGCAUUCUGGAGUUGAAAAUGAGCUUCAAUAUCACAAGAUUUGUCUGGUGAUAUAUUGGAAUUUGUAUUGGAAUAUAUGUCUUGAGAUCUGACAACUCAGAACUGCCAUUAAUUAAAUUAUUAACACUAGCUGACAUUGUACAUUAUAUUAUUUUAUACCAUGAUAUUCUAGUAAGAAGUGUAUCCAGCAUACAAUAGUGAAAUCAAAUGUUGACUAGGCAACAACCCUUCAAUUAUU